UACGGAGGGUGCAAGCGUUGUUCGGAUUUAUUGGGCGUAAAGCGCGUGUAGGCGGUUUCUUAAGUCUGAUGUGAAAGCCCUGGGCUCAACCCAGGAAGUGCAUUGGAUACUGGGAGACUUGAAUACGGGAGAGGGUAGUGGAAUUCCUAGUGUAGGAGUGAAAUCCGUAGAUAUUAGGAGGAACACCGGUGGCGAAGGCGGUUAUCUGGCCCAACAUUGACACUGAGACCCGAAAGCGUGGGGAUCAAACAGG
rnacentral:rRNA from 1 species